rnacentral:rRNA from 1 species
UACGGAGGGUGCAAGCGUUGUCCGGAAUCACUGGGCGUAAAGGGCGCGUAGGCGGCUCAUGAAGGCUGUGGUGAAAGUCCGGGGCUCAACCUCGGAUCGGCCGUGGCGACUCGUGGGCUGGAGCACUGUAGAGGCGGGUGGAAUUCCGGGUGUAGCGGUGGAAUGCGUAGAUAUCAGGAGGAACACCGGCGGUGUAGACGGCUUUCUGGACCGUAGCUGACGCUGAGACACGAAAGCGUGGGUAGCAAACAGG